rnacentral:rRNA from 1 species
AGCGAACGCUGGCGGCAGGCCUAACACAUGCAAGUCGAACGAACUCUUCGGAGUUAGUGGCGGACGGGUGAGUAACACGUGGGAACGUGCCUUUUGGUUCGGAAUAACUCAGGGAAACUUGUGCUAAUACCGAAUGUGCCCUUCGGGGGAAAGAUUUAUCGCCAUUAGAGCGGCCCGCGUCUGAUUAGCUAGUUGGUGAGGUAACGGCUCACCAAGGCGACGAUCAGUAGCUGGUCUGAGAGGAUGACCAGCCACACUGGGACUGAGACACGGCCCAGACUCCUACGGGAGGCAGCAGUGGGGAAUCUUGCGCAAUGGGCGAAAGCCUGACGCAGCCAUGCCGCGUGAAUGAUGAAGGUCUUAGGAUUGUAAAAUUCUUUCACCGGGGACGAUAAUGACGGGACCCGGAGAAGAAGCCCCGGCUAACUGCGG